rnacentral:rRNA from 1 species
AGAGUUUGAUUCUGGCUCAGAACGAACGCUGGCGGCGUGGAUAAGACAUGCAAGUCGAACGAGAGAAUUGCUAGCUUGCUAAUAAUUCUCUAGUGGCGCACGGGUGAGUAACACGUGAGUAACCUGCCCCCGAGAGCGGGAUAGCCCUGGGAAACUGGGAUUAAUACCGCAUAGUAUCGAAAGAUUAAAGCAGCAAUGCGCUUGGGGAUGGGCUCGCGGCCUAUUAGUUAGUUGGUGAGGUAACGGCUCACCAAGGCGAUGACGGGUAGCCGGUCUGAGAGGAUGUCCGGCCACACUGGAACUGAGACACGGUCCAGACACCUACGGGUGGCAGCAGUCGAGAAUCAUUCACAAUGGGGGAAACCCUGAUGGUGCGACGCCGCGUGGGGGAAUGAAGGUCUUCGGAUUGUAAACCCCUGUCAUGUGGGAGCAAAUUAAAAAGAUAGUACCACAAGAGGAAGAGACGGCUAACUCUGUGCCAGCAGCCGCGGUAAUACAGAGGUCUCAAGCGUUGUUCGGAAUCACUGGGCGUAAAGCGUGCGUAGGCUGUUUCGUAAGUCGUGUGUGAAAGGCGCGGGCUCAACCCGCGGACGGCACAUGAUACUGCGAGACUAGAGUAAUGGAGGGGGAACCGGAAUUCUCGGUGUAGCAGUGAAAUGCGUAGAUAUCGAGAGGAACACUCGUGGCGAAGGCGGGUUCCUGGACAUUAACUGACGCUGAGGCACGAAGGCCAGGGGAGCGAAAGGGAUUAGAUACCCCUGUAGUCCUGGCAGUAAACGGUGCACGCUUGGUGUGCGGGGAAUCGACCCCCUGCGUGCCGGAGCUAACGCGUUAAGCGUGCCGCCUGGGGAGUACGGUCGCAAGAUUAAAACUCAAAGAAAUUGACGGGGACCCGCACAAGCGGUGGAGUAUGUGGCUUAAUUCGAUGCAACGCGAAGAACCUUA